GAAAAAAUCUACACCAAAUCUUAAUCUUAGUAAAGCAAAGCCCUGUAUGGUCUGGCAACACAGGAAUUGAUAGCGUGCAGGUGAGAGUCGAACCAUGACCAAAGGCUUCCUUGAGCGCCCUUGGUUAUUAGGUGACUAUCCCUGUGCCAAUUCCUGUGGCUUGCAAGGGUUCUUUGCCGUAUGAUGUUUUUAAAAGCAUCCCAGUCAAAACCAAUUGGCAAUGAGUGGAGAAGCCGCCAAGGCUCAUAUACUAGUUUUGGUCCUUGGAGGGUUCUUUGCCGUAUGAUGUUUGUUAAAGCAUCCCAGUCAAAACCAAUUGGCAAUGAGUAGAGAAGCCGCCAAGGCUUAUAUACACUAGUUUUGGAGGAGAUAAUUAACCGAUGUGGGACAAAUUCCAUCGAUGUUGUUGUCGCUGUACUAAUAAUGAGAGAUGGAUAUAUAGAUAGAGAGAUGGAUAUAUUCAUGGAUUUGAACUCAAAGAAUGAGGCUCAAUUGGAGAGAAGUGUGUUUCUAAGGGUGGUUGCUCCUUCGGUAAUUUGAUGAGCCUAUGAUUUCAGUUCAAUUAACAGCCCUGUAUAUAUUUGCAUUGUACGAUUAGUGGUGAUAUAAGGAUAUAUACUUCCUCCAUCCCAAUGUGUUUUUUUCACAUUUCCCUUGGUGGAUAUAUAUGGACAGAGCGAAAGAACCUAUAUUGCUGAAUAAUUUCCCCUUGUAUGAAAGGGGCUGUGAUGAUAUUUUUUCGGAGGACAUAGGUUGAGAAGAUGGAACCCCGUUCAUGGCGGAGCAACUAAUGUUGCAGCCAUGGUGGGAAAAUCCUUAUUUUCUCCCAUCCAAAUACAAAUCUGAGCCUCACAUUUUCCGUCAAUCUAUCUCCACAUUUCAUUGGAGCUGAUGAUUUUCAGGUGAUGAUAGAAAUUAGUGUAUUUAGAAACGCUCCUUGCAACUGUGGAAAACUCUCCUUGCAAGUUACAAUUGAACAAGAGAGUGAACGAGGAAAAGCCCUUUGCUCUGCGGAAGGAAAAUAGCCAAGGUACAUGUAGAUGGAUGAUAUGUGCUAACUAUAGUUUGAUUAUUGCUGUGGUAUCUGCAUGAUUGGUUGUCAUGUGUUCUAUUGGGCGCAGAAGCCAACAUGGAUGGUCCUUUCCUAUGUUUAAUGAACAAGAGUUAGAGGCAGUAACAGACUUAAGGGAACUUAUUAAAGUGGCAGUUGAUGUUGAGUCUGCAAUUUUACCCUACAUUAGUUGAAUUGAUUGUGAGGUGAUCCCUGGAAUGGCUCCUUCUGCUACAUUUUGGUUUUGGUUUUUGCAGGGGAAAUAUGGAAAUCAGAUAGGAAAGUGUGAGUAAACUGUAAGAAGUUAUGUUUCUAGUUUUUUUAUUUUCUCAUCUUCUUCUCUUCACACAUUUGAUAUCCCAACACAUGUUCACAUCCUUUUUUAAAUAACAUGCAAAAUCUUGGCAGCUACACAUUUCAUAUGCAUAGUGAGAUUAUUGCUUGCUUUGCUGCAAGACCCUUUUUUUCCAAAGGAAUCAGCAACUUUAUUCGAUGUUUUGUGUUUAGUCAUUCCAAUCUUGAAAAGUUAAUGCAUGCCUUGGAAUUUGAAUCACAAUUGUUCGGCAGAAUUGAAUUCAAUCUUUGGAAUUGGAUGUGGAAGCUAUUUCAGGGCGUACUUUUUUCUGAGAUAUAUUUGAGUAACAUGUCUUAGGCUUGUUUCCGCAUAGCCAUGCAUAAUGUUUGAGAGCACAUUUUGAUUUGGCGUAUAGUAUGAAACAACCAUCGUAUCUCAUAAUUUUCGAUGAUUAAAUGCCUAUCAAAUGUUAAUGGGGGUGCUUGGUAAAUCCAUUGUGUCUAUUUCAACAUGCUACAAGGGGUUAGUCUAGUGGAAAGUGAAGGAAACUGUUUUCAUGUUUCUAACCAUGGAACGUGACAAUUUACUACCCAGAAAGACUUAAAACUCUUAAGUUGUGGUAUGUCUCAGCAGUCUUGUUUACCUUGUAUUGUUCUCAGUUUUAUGACCUUGUUUAGUCUACAACUCUAAUUGCACAGUUUUUUUUCUUCUUUUUUCAUUAGUCUUUUGGAGCAUUUUGGUUUCUGAAUCAUUUACGAUUCUUUCCAGUUGGUUCUGAAUAGUUGUGUUUUGUUUUAUGUUGUUAUUGGUAGGUACUUGGGAUUGAACACAAGGACAUGAACUAUUUGAUAGAAUUCCCCAGUGAGUUCUCAUCUUGAAUAUCAAUUCAUCACAUUGUUCGACUGAAUUCAUGACUGGGUUCCUGUUAUUGGAUUGCACUUCAAAUUUUAGCUUGGUGGUCAUUCAGAUUUCAGAAUGCUGCUGCCCUGGAUCUUAGAUUCGUGGAAUCAGAAGUUUGCCUUGGAACCAUGAUCACUGAAUAAGGCGACUGAUGUUGCAGCCAUGGUGGGAAUACCCUUCUCUUCUACAACCAAAACACAGAUCUGAGCCUCACCUUUUCCAUCAAUUUAUCCUCACACUUCUUCGGUGCCUGGAAUACUGAGGCGAUGAUCGAAAUGGUGUGCAUUUAGAAGCUCCCAAUUCCCAAACAGCUCUGGAAAACUUUUGUGAAAGCAACAACCAAGCACGGCCUCAGAGCCUUGUUCAAUUAAGAUUAAGAUUUUGGGUUGGUUCUGAUUCUAAUCGAUUAGUAAUCUAGGGCUGACACACAUGAAAUAUAGUUACAGUGAAAACCCAUGCAUUUGGAGUGGUUCAGAAACUCAAAUCUUAGAAUGAGGCUAAUAAACAGAGAGAAGGGAUGUUUCUUAGGGUGGUUGCCCCUGUCUUGAAAAGAUUAUCUUGAUUCCUUAAUCAGAUCAUCAAUGCCUACGAUUUCAGUUCCAUCUACAAAAUCAACAGCCCUUUGUGUAUGUAUGUGUGUGUAUAUAUCUGGGUGCGUGUUUGUUGGUAGAAUUUUGUUUACUAUACAGA